rnacentral:rRNA from 1 species
GACGAACGCUGGCGGCGUGCCUAAUACAUGCAAGUAGAACGCUGAAGCGAGGAGCUUGCUCUUCUUGGAUGAGUUGUGAACGGGUGAGUAACGCGUAGGUAACCUGCCUUGUAGCGGGGGAUAACUAUUGGAAACGAUAGCUAAUACCGCAUAACAAUGGAUGACACAUGUCAUUUAUUUGAAAGGGGCAAUUGCUCCACUACAAGAUGGACCUGCGUUGUAUUAGCUAGUAGGUGAGGUAAUGGCUCACCUAGGCGACGAUACAUAGCCGACCUGAGAGGGUGAUCGGCCACACUGGGACUGAGACACGGCCCAGACUCCUACGGGAGGCAGCAGUAGGGAAUCUUCGGCAAUGGGGGCAACCCUGACCGAGCAACGCCGCGUGAGUGAAGAAGGUUUUCGGAUCGUAAAGCUCUGUUGUAAGUCAAGAACGGGUGUGAGAGUGGAAAGUUCACACUGUGACGGUAGCUUACCAGAAAGGGACGGCUAACUACGUG